rfam:Lysinibacillus sp. F5 Contig14, whole genome shotgun sequence.
AUUUACCACUAGGGGAGCCUUUAAAAGGCUGAGACGUAUAUGAUGAUGUACGGACCCUUUGAACCUGAUCUAGUUCAUACUAGCGGAGGGAAGUGGCGCUACUUGCUA